rnacentral:lncRNA from 1 species
GAAAUGGGUGUUGGAUCCCCUAGAACUAGAAUUACAGAGGGUUAUGAGCCACCAUGUGCAUGCUGGGAAUUGAACCAGAUCCUCUGGAAGAGUGGACAGUGCUCUUAACUGCUGAGCCAACUCUCCAGUACUCUUCUAUGUCUUUUUACCUUGCUUCAGUCUUAAGCUAAAAUUAGCUAAAUUCAUUCCCAUCUGUAGUAAUUCUAAAAAAGCAGCCUACAGUCAAAAUUGCUAAGAACCUUAAAAAAAUGUGGCCUCCAUGGUGCUAGCGAUGUAACUCAGUGACAGAGUGCUGUCCUAGAAUGAAAAAAGCUCUAGAUUUCAUCCCUAGCACUAGGAAAAUUAAAAUUGAAGUGUGGACAUCAGAAUUUCUCCCCAUCUGGGUACACAGUCCAUAAAUCUGCAUUUUCAAUAUGACUACAAGUAUGCCAAGUUGGUAAUUCACUGGUUUAGUGAAUACACAGCAAAGAAAAGCUGUCAUCUUUUUCCCCACAUAUAUAUAUAUGUAACCAAUAUAUAUAUGUAUAUAUAUUAGUAAUUUUUAUAAUUUGUUAGCAGUCUUGUCAGAGGCUGGAAACCCUAAAGUUCAUUCUUCUAACUUAUUAAUUUAACAAUUGUUUAUUGCAGGUUGUCAAAUGUACCAGGCAUGGGAAAGCAAGCACAUUGUUUUUUGAAAUAUACCUCAAGGAAUGGCAAAGACUUCUAGGAGGAAGAUUUGAAGGCAGUGGUCAAGGUCAAAAAGGAAUUAGCUUUGGACAAGGGAUACAGGAUGCCUUCCUCUAAGUCUAAGAGCCUCCUAGAACCAUGGGAUGAGUAGGAUCAUCUAACUUGACUUCGAACCUGAGACUUCAGCUACUCUAGCCUGUGCCUCCCUGCCAGCUGUAUGUAAUUCUGCCCCAGCUGCACCAACCUGAUCUUAUGGUCAAAGGAGUUCCCACAGAAUUUAGAGCAGUCCAUGUACAAAGAUAUACGGCUGUCUUCUUUGGUGUUAAAUUGAGACUUUCUGGUCUGGAGUGUGCUUGCCAAGAAUGGUGGUCAAGAAUGGAAACCAAAGAAUCAUUUCUUCUCUGUUACAGAAGGCCACACCAGGGCUCGACCUCUUGACCUUGCUGGGAAGGGAUAAAAGGUAGUUUGGAGGCCCUUCACGAGCAAACAACAACAAACCCCUAAAUUAUGAUCAUAAUAAAAUAUAUGUAUUAAGACAAAGCCUCAUUCUGAAGGCCAGGAUAGCCCAGAAGCUCACUAUAAAGCCCAGGCUGGCAUUGAACUUGAGUCAGUCCUCACAUUUUAGCCUCCCAAGUGCUAAUGUUAUUCAAGACAUGUGGAGAAGAACAGGUACAACUUUCCACUGUUGAUUAUCUCUUUCCACCAGUGGGUUCCAAGAAGUGAACUCACGUUGUCUUGUAGGGUGGCAAGCACCCUUAACUGCUGCUGCUGAGCCAUCUCUCUAGCUUUCCUUAUUUGUUUGAUUCGAUUUUUAUUUUCACUUUAUUUUUAAAAGACAUACCCAGCACCUGGGAGGCAGAGGCAGGCGGAUCUCCUUGUGAGUUCCGGGCCAGACUGGUCUCCAGAGUGAGUGCCAGUUUAGGCUCUAAAGCUACACAGAGAAACCCUAUCUCAAAAGAAAAACAAACAAACAAAAAACAAUGUUGCUCCUCCUCCUUUUGUUCCUCCACUUCAUCCUCGUAAGAAAAAUUCACUGAGCAAAGGCAGCAGGCUGAGCAGUAACUAGGCUACGGCCUGCAGCUCCCAAAUGCUUUUUUAUCUGAAAUCCCUUCCUUCUCUAAUCGCUAGCAGACCACAGCUCAGAAGCUCCCACCUCUCCCAAGGGCACUUGCAAAUGAGGAGCUUCUGGAACUCAAGCUUAAUUAACUUUAUGUAAAUCUCUUUCUGAGACUCCUUUAUUAAGGGAGCACUAUGCUAAUCUUUGUUCUAGUGCCCUUUGCUGUUGACUACCUUCUGCAUAUAUGCACUAGGCCAACGGUUUGGUUGAUUUGGCUAGGGAGUCGAUUUGACAGAAUGAACCCUGAUGCCUAUGAGGUAUAGGAGCAGAGGAAAUGGGUCACUGGCUUUAAUUCUUCUGCUCUGGGGGAGCUUCAAGGAACAAGGAGGCCGUAUAGUGUCCAUGUUCGCUACAGCUGGACUCGGAAAGUCAGAAAGUAAUGUUUUUAGUUUUUGUUUUUUCUCUUGCACAGAUUACUCUGUGUUACUCAGAGGCUUGAACUGGGUGUCUUAGUUAGGGUUUCUACUGUUGUGAUGAAACACUGGCCAGAAGCUACUUGGGGAGGAAAGGAUUUAUGCCACUCACACUUCCAUAUAACAGUUGAUCAUCAAAAGCAGGCAGGAAUCUGGAGGCAGAGUCUGACGCCGAUGCUGUGGAGGAGUGCUUGCUCCUUAGGGCUAGUCCAGUCUGCUUUCUUAUAGAAGCCAGGACCACCAGCCCACAGGUGGCAGUGUCCCUAAAGGCUUCCCUAUAACUCAACCUUAUGGAGGGAUUUUCUCAACUGAAGUUCCCUCCUCUUAGAUGACACUAGUUUGUGUGAAGUUGACAUAAAAACUAGCUGGAAACUGAAUAUAAUCCUAUGUGAAUGAUAAACACUAAGAAAGAGAUUAUUUACUUUUCUUUUGAAACAGGGGCUCACAUAGACCAGCUAGCUUGUGCAGUCAAUUCUGGCCUUGAAACUUUAACCCUCCUGCCUCAUCUUCCAAGGACUGAGAUUUGAAAUUUUUCUGUACCCUGAUAAGCCUCUCCACCAACUAAGCAAUUCAGAUCAGACCAAAUUAAACCAAAUUAGAAAAAGCCCUGGUUUAAUGGUUAAAAUGUUCCCAAAUGAUUUUCCUGUCCCCUAGAGAGGAGAUGGAGAAGAGAGACCAAAAAACCAUAUGUCUGUUUUCUGGCAUGGGGAGGGGGGACAGUUUAAAUACCCUGAGGGAGUGGUCUUGAUCAUCUCUACAGGAGAGGUGAUUAUUUGGUGGGCUUUCUAAGAUGCUACAGGUUUUGGAGAAAGAGAUGGGGGAGGGGGUUUUCCACCAGAACAUUCUGGUCUCUGUGGAUGUAUGGAUGUCAGGGGCUGGGGUGGACCUUCCACCAGAACAAGAUUAUAGGAGUGUAUCACCAUUCUUGCCUACAGAAUUUCUCGGUAAAUACAGGUGUUUUAUGUUUGUUUGUUUGCUUGCUUUUUUCAAACAGGGUUUUUCUGUGUAACAGCCCUGGCUUCUCUGGAACUCACUUUGUAGACCACUCAGAGAUCCUGCCUAUGCCUCCCAAGUGCAGGGAUUAAAGGCAUGUGUUGUGCCACAGUUUUUGUUUUUUAAUGAUUUAUUUAUUUAUUUAUUUAUUUAUUUUAUGUGCAUUGGUGUUUUGCCUGCAUGUAUGUCUAUGUGAGGGUGUCGGAUCCCCUGGAACUUGAAUUACAGAUGAAGGGACCAGCUCCCCAUUUCGGCAGCCAUAACAGUCUAACGCAGGCUUGCCUGACCUUGCCUUUGUCACUAGGAUGUCAGAUGCCUGCUUCGUGGCAAGGAACCAAUCAGAAGUUAGCUGGUGGUGCUAUGCUUUACGGCUCUGGGUGUGCUUUAUGGACAAGUGCACAGCAAUGACGUGCAGAG